UGAAUACGAGACGCUAAGGCGUCGAAGUAGUGUAUGUCAUACUUCCAAGAAAAGCUUGCACUGUCAUAGAUAAAAAACGCCUGUACCAUAACCGACACAGGUGGGUAGGUAGAGUAUACUAAGGGGCGCGAGAUAACUCUCUCUAAGGAACUCGGCAAAAUAACUCCGUAACUUCGGGAGAAGGAGUGCCUUAUUCUUAAGGUUGCAAUAACAAGAUCCAAGCAACUGUUUAUCAAAAACACAGGUCUCCGCUAAGUCGUAAGACGAUGUAUGGGGGCUGACGCCUGCCCAGUGCCAGAAGGUUAAAGAAGCUGGUUAGCAAUUGCGAAGCUGGUGACUGAAGCCCUGGUGAACGGCGGCCGUAACUAUAACGGUCCUAAGGUAGCGAAAUUCCUUGUCGGGUAAGUUCCGACCCGCACGAAAGGCGUAAUGAUUUGGAUACUGUCUCGGAGAGGGGCUCGGUGAAAUAGACUUGUCUGUGAAGAUGCGGACUACCUGCACCAGGACAGAAAGACCCUAUGAAGCUUUACUGUAACUUGAAAUUGAAAUUGGACUUUAUUCGCGCAGCAUAGGUGGGAGGCGUUGAUUAUAAUCUUGCGGGAUUAUUGGAGCCAUUAGUGAGAUACCACUCUUGUAAUGUUAGAUUUCUAACUUUGAAUCAUUAUCUGGUCAAAGGACAGUUUCAGGCGGGCAGUUUGACUGGGGCGGUCGCCUCCCAAACGGUAACGGAGGCGUACAAAGGUUUCCUCUGAACGGUUAGAAAUCGUAUCUAGAGUGUAAAGGCAUAAGGAAGCUUGACUGUGAGACCUACAAGUCGAGCAGGGACGAAAGUCGGUCUUAGUGAUCUGACGGUACUGAGUGGAAAGGCCGUCACUCAACGGAUAAAAGUUACUCUAGGAUAACAGGCUGAUCUCCCCCAAGAGUUCACAUCGACGGGGAGGUUUGGCACCUCGAUGUCGGCUCAUCGCAUCCUGGGGCGGUAGUACGUCCCAAGGGUUGGGCUGUUCGCCCAUGAAAGCGGUACGCGAGCUGGGUUCAGAACGUCGUGAGACAGUUCGGUCCAUAUCCGGUGUAGGCGUUAGAAUAUUGAGAGGAGCCUUCUUUAGUACGAGAGGACCGAGAAGGACAUACCUCUGGUGUACCAGUUAUCGUGCCAACGGUAAACGCUGGGUAGCUAUGUAUGGAGUGGAUAACCGCUGAAAGCAUCUAAGUGGGAAGCCCACCUCAAGAUAAGUAUUCCC
rnacentral:rRNA from 1 species